rnacentral:misc_RNA from 1 species
AACGCAACUUGCGCUCCUUGGUAUUCCAUGGAGCAUGCCUGUUUGAGAGUCACGUAAACCCUCACCCUUACGAUGUUACAAUCGCAUUGUGGUGGAUUUGGAUUGUGCCGUAAUUGGCUCAUCCUGAAAUGCAUUAGCUUGUGCUUUUUACAGUGCUCGGCAUGGUGUGAUAAUUAUCUGCGCCGUCGCCUUAGGCCUGUUCUAUAUGUGCAGCUUCUAAUCGUCCCUUGUGGACAACUUACUUAACACUUUGGCCUCAAAUCAGGUAGGACUACCCGCUGAACUUAA